GCUGGACUUAGUAACGAAUCUUGUAAUCUGAAAGGGGGCUUAUGUGGUAGAAGACGCGUUUCGGCUCACUGAAUUUGGAUCAAGGAUGGUCUCUUUAAGGCUAGUCCGUUUAAAUUAAUUAAAUUUGAGGAUAGACUCCGGGUCUCGUGACUCGUGGAGUGGUGGGUACUGCGUGAGGCUGGUUUCACAGAGCCAUGGAAGACCAACCGCUCUUGGCAAUGCAAGGAGAGCAGUUCUUCAACACUCGGGUCCAACAUAGCUCAUUGGGUUGACCCUAACUGCACCAUCAUCUUU
rnacentral:SRP_RNA from 1 species